rnacentral:rRNA from 1 species
AGUGAACGCUGGCGGUAGGCUUAACACAUGCAAGUCGAACGGCAGCACAGUAAGAGCUUGCUCUUAUGGGUGGCGAGUGGCGGACGGGAGACGAAUACAUCGGAAUCUACUUUUUCGUGGGGGUUAACGUAGGGAAACUUAAGCUCAUACCGCAUACGACCUACGGGUGAAAGCAGUGGAAAUUCGGACCUUGUGCGAUUGGAUGAGCCGAGGUCGGAUUUGCUAGUUGGCGGGGUAAAGGCCCACCUAGGCGACGAUUCGUAGCUUGUCGGAGAGAAGGGUCGGCCACACUGGAAGUGAGACACGGUCCAUAGUCCUACGGGAGGCAGCAGUGGGGAAUAUUAGACAAUGGGCGCAAGCCUGAUACAGCCAUACCGCGUGGGUGAAGAAGACCUUCGGGUUGUAAAGCCCUUUUGUUGGGAGAGAAAAGCAGCAGGUUAAUACCCCGCUGUUCUGACGGUACCCAAAGAAUAAGCACCGGCUAACUUCGUG